GCGCGAAUAGUCUACAAUGGACGAAAGUCUGAUAGUGCGACGCCGCGUGAACGAAGAAUCCCUUCGGGGUGUAAAGUUCUUUUAUAUGUGAGCAAUGCUUCCUAGGUGAAUAGUUUAGGGAGAGAGAUAUUAGCAUAUGAAUAAGCAACGGCUAACUCCGUGCCAGCAGCCGCGGUAACACGGGGGUUGCUAGCGUUGUCCGGAAUUACUAGGCGUAAAGGGCAGGUAGGCGGAUAGAUAAGUUUGAUGUUAAAGGCGACGGCUUACCCGUCGUAAGGCAUUAGAUACUGUUUAUCUGGAAUACGGUUGGGGAAGACAGAAUUCCUGGUGUAGCGGUGGAAUGCGCAGAGAUCAGGAGGAAUACCAAAGGCGAAGGCAGUCUUCUAAGCCGUUAUUGACGCUAAACUGCGAAGGUGUGGGUAUCAAACA
rnacentral:rRNA from 1 species